ACUCCCGCGUGUAGUACUGGAUAGGGUUCCCCGCCACCCUCACCGGUCGCCGCCGCCCUCACCGGUCGCCGCUGCCGUCGGUUUCCCUACAUGGCCGGAGGAUAGGCCAUCCCGCCGGUCCAUUCCCGCCCCACCGCGAGGGAGGAGACCGACCAGUUGCGCCUCCCCGCCGGUCGCCGCCAGCCACCCCAAGCUAUGACGUACCCCGCCGCCAGGAGGCCAGGAGGCCGCCAUGGAGGCCCGUCCCGAGCUCACCUCGCUGCUCCUCCGGUGACCCUCGUUGCGCCUGGAUCCGGGCGGAUCCGACGAUUCCCCGACGCGCAGGCGGGCCGGCACGCGGCGCUAGGCGAAGGAGCCCUCCCAUGGCGGAUGAAUCGACUGUAGUGUGCAGCAGAUCGGACAGCUGUAGUCGUCCAUGAGGCUGCUGGCGGAUGCUGUGUGGAGGAAGGACGGUCCCCAGAACAUAAUGCAGUAGUCGCCCACUUAGUACUCUGAUUGCUCGUGAAGGCAAGGUCUUGCGUGAAGGUCAUCCUCCUAUAUCGCUGUGUCAGGCACUCUGAUUGCUCGUAUUGAUCGGAGUUAGAAAAGAGGAACCCAGAUUUUUGUCCGUGAAAUCCCUGGGCCCCCGAAAUUUCUUGACUGGCCCUGCUCACGAGAGCCGAAAUCCCUGGAGGCUGGAGUGGUAGAUGAUCUCAUGCGACAGUGGGUUGAAAAUGAGCUAGACGCUCGUGCCGGCGGUUUCGAACGCGUGCUGCCGGUCGGCUCCUUGUGUCCUCCAGUGGCUUCCAUUGAGGUAGGCUUUGUGGAGGCAUGUGUAUGGGUUGUAGUCUGUAGAGUUAGUCGUGCGUCGGUGCUCACCAGGUUCAUCCUGUGGCAUUUCUUGGAGCAGAUACGGUCGACAUGUAUGCUGGGAGCAUGCUAAUGGGGGCACCUAAAGUGUUCGACGGAAUGGCUAUCAUAUUGGUGCUUUACCAUCUCACCUCACCACCACGUGAGCAAAACCACCUACCAGAGCAUCGGGGUUGAUUUGUCUGGUUUUAGAAAGUAGAGGGGAUUAAGAUCCCGGUUUUAGAGGUCAGGGCCUCAGGGGGCUAUGUGGCCAAAAUGUAAUACUUAUGGGGUCAUAUACACUUUUUUUCUUAAAUCUAAUAGGUUUCUUCCUCAGUGAUAUCCCAAAUUAUCCCACCAAGAAAGAUGGCCGCAUCGUCCUGGCCUGCGCUCCCGGCCACCCGGCGGGAUGUCGAGGCUGUCGUUGCCAAGGACGUGGAGCUGCACUGGCCUCUAUUGGUGCACCGUGCCCAAUGUUAGUGCUGCCAAUAUUGCUUAUUUGAUCAACUUCAGGUCUGCAAUAGUCUAAUCAGCUCUUUUUAGAGAUAUAGACUAAUCAAUACAGUAGCUUAAUAACUUGUAAUCACUAGGGCCAAUUAGCUGAUGGGAGACAGGGAGAACGAAGGUUGACGAGGCUUAGGCAGUCUGCUGACAGGAAAUGCAAUAGUGAUUUCGCAAGAGAAAUGGAGGUGAUGGCUAGGCUCUGGCACGACAAUGUUGUCCGCCUCCUUGCUUACUUCAGUGAAUGCGAUGAGCGGAUACUCAUAUAUAGCUAUAUGUCGAACAACAGCAUGGAUCUCUGCUUAUACUUCUAUAUUUUUUCUUGCAUAUGCUCAGAAUUUGGAUCACAAUAGUAAAUAGAUCAUUAGGUUCUCUUCUAUAAUUGUUGGUUGUUGUUGUUCUGUGCUCCAACACAUACGAGCAGCUCAUUGUUGCACGGAGAUAAGUUUCAUGCACAUAAUUAAAGUUCCGGAUAACCGAAGUACAAAUCUGUAAAUACCUUUAGAUAAAGCUUGUAUGCUUGACAUGCUUGACCAUGUAAAAGCUCAUGCAUGAGUAAUUAUAUCAUCAGGUUAUUCUUUUUAUCUGCAAGGUGAGCUUCAAGAUUCUGUAAACUAGCAUUUCCAAUAGUUUAGAGCUGCCACUUUACUUUCAGUAUUUAGGUGGAUGAUCUCUGUUUAAAUUCCUAAUACAAGUAAUGCACUCCGGCAAGUUCUAUUUAUUUGUGCCCUUGCUGCAAAUAGAUGUAAUUUUAUCGCGAGCACCCAAGUACAGCAGCACUAUUGUCGUUCAUUAUUGUUGGCUUAUGCCCUAGAGAGAAAAUAAUUAGCAUUUACCUCUGUGUACCGGACUGUAGUUGUACCAUAUGCCUAUUGUAUCAUUUUCAUCCUUGAUAGAUGCAGCGAGUAAAUUGUCACUGAAAAAUGUUGUGGUUGCAGCGUUUGUUUUGUUAAUUCUGCAUUCCUUCCUUUAUGAGAAAGUGUUACUUCUGCGUUAGUUAUAUGUUAUGUUUCUCUAUGUCCAAUUCUUGUAUUGACUUCAGAUUGUGCAUAUGUGGAGAAGCAUGUCUGCUCCCAGUGGAGAGGACUUUCAGAAAGACAACUUAGGCACUUGCUUUAGCAUUCACGUUUACUAUUUUUGUAAAAAUAUUCAUACGUGUGUUUGAAUUGUUUUUAGUAGCUGUCUUUAUUACUCUCUCUGAUUGAAAAAAAAUCGGAUGCUGCCUACAGCAAGUCCGUUUGUCAUCAGCGCCUUUCUUUGCUUGGUAGCUCCACAUCCAAUCUUUCAAGCUACAUCCAUAUGUAAGAAAGUUACAAUUAAUCCAGUACUAAUAGUUUUGUACGUACGUAUAUGCGCACUCACCCCUUCUAUAUACAUAUGAUUCAGGAGCAUCUUUUACUAGCAUUUUGUUUCAUUGCCCCAUACAAAAUGUAUGCAAGUGAUGUCUAUUGUUUUUUUCCUUUGUCUAAAUAUACUACAGAAGCAUGUCUUGAAUAAAAGCUGGUUGGCGUAGCACGGGCAUCUUGCUAGUUAGUACAUAUAUGCCUUGAUCAUGCUUUUCUUCCUUUGUGUGUUACAACAAACCGUGCAUACAGUUGUGAAUUGUGAAAAGCAUAUAUAGCUGUGCUAUAGAUUGAAAAUCUAAGUAAACAAAAACAAUCAAACUUCUUUAGGCAAUAAGAAAUCCAAUUAGUAAACAACAAAGGAAUACAAUUCCAUAGUUCCACAAAUAACCAUUGCAGAGGUUUGAUUGUUUAGGCAAGAUGCUUACUGCUCUCCGCCAUUCGUCCGAGUAGAUCAGUUCAGUCUGUUUGUUUAUUAUUAAGUACUUGAUGUAGCUAGCUUUAAGGUUUCCAUCCGUUCUUCAUUCUAGGCUAACAACUAAUUUAUGCUUUUUUUUAUAUAGGCUAUAAUUUCCAAUAUUUAUGUUUGCUAUAUUUGUUUUUUUCCUGAACAUAUAGCCAGACAUUAGGAGUAAAGGGCUCCAAGGUGGCGCAAUGGUUUACAAGAAAACAUCCAAAUGGAGAAGAGCAAAAAUCGCUAAGGCUGUGUAUCUUUCUCACCUGCUCUUUCAAACACAAUAAUUCUUUAUAUUAUUCCCCCUUUUUAUUUGUUAAAGCACAAUUAAUUAUCGACGAGAAUGUAGGGGCAACGGAACAUUUCAUGUCUGACAUGCUAUUUUGGUUUGAACAUAGCUAUAUUAAGUAAGUUACUCUGACCACAUCGAUACCGAUGUUGUAUGUAUCAAAAGUCAUCCUUCUACGUGGAUUAAUAAAGAAGGAUGAGAUGGUCACAACUGACACUUUAGCAACAUACUAAAUUCUACACAUUGCAUAGUAGUAGUAGUAUUUUUUCACUGCGAAAAGCAACCAUGAAUUAGUUUUCAAAAUUAUAUUUCAUGGCUUUCAAAGUUUUAAUAUGAUUGUUGUUGCUAUCUGCCAUGUUGCAAAUGUCGGCCGGUGCACACCAUGUUGCAUGUUGUUCCGUGAUUUCUUAGGUACUCUACAAUUUACUACCUGACAUGAGUUACCACUGUAUUUUCUUCUUCUAAUUACAACAUGUAGAAAUGUGUGUUAAGAGUUCAAUCAUAUACAAAGAUGCCUAUAUGUUGUUUUUGGUUUUACCUGCAUAAAACUAAAAUGGUUCUCUCCUAACAGAGAGGCAGUGGAUAUGUGCUUCUCAAUCAAGGAGCUUUUGUCAAACCGGGUAUGCAACCAUGCACGUUGUAGUUCAUACUAUAUGGAAUUUACUUUCAGUAGGAAUGUGAGUAUGUUGCUCCGGUGAUAGUAAGCAUUUGCAUUGUUUCAAUACAUAUCACAAGUCUUAUUUUACAGAUAUAAGUUGCAUCAUAAUAAUCUUCAUAUUUUAGUUGCAUCAUAAUAAUCUUCUUCUUCUAGUCUUCUUCUAACUUUCUUCUUUCCCAUUUUGUAGAUUUGCUUUAGAUCAUGGAAGCUUGGGUUGAUGGAGUGCUUGUCUUUAGUUUUUGUUUUGACUUUGUGAAACUUGCUACCUAUGAUGAA